AUGAUUCUUCGUUGCGACUUCAGUAUUCAUAAUGACGGGAGCGACAUCAUCACCCUCACUCACUUCUCCUCUAUGUUCGUAUUCUUUUCGUACUUCAUCAUCCUAUUUCUGCGGAUCCGCUUCAAAUAUCACAUAUCAAACUGGAAGCUCAACCUCAACCUUCUCUUUGAUUCAACUCCUCAUCAAUCCUUGUUCAACAUCAACUACUGUUUAAAUAACAUGGAGACCAUGAAUUGCAAACAUAAACGAGUUCGCAGUUGGAUCUCCCCACUUCAAUCCUUAUAG